CCUACGGGUGGCAGCAGUGGGGAAUAUUGCACAAUGGGGGAAACCCUGAUGCAGCGACGCCGCGUGAGUGAAGAAGUCUUUCGGUUUGUAAAGUUCUGUUAGCAGGGAAGAAAAUGAUGGUACUUGAUCAAGAAGCCCCGGCUAACGACGUCCUAGCAGCCGCGGUAAUACGUAGGGGGCAAGCGUCAUUCGGAUUUACUGGGUGGAAAGGGAGCGUAGUCGGCAGGGCAAGUCUGGAGUGAAAGGCAGGGGCGCAACCGCCGGACUGCUCUGGAAACUGCUAGGCUGGAGUGCAGGAGAGGAAAAUGGAAUUCCUAGUGUAGCGGUGAAAUGCGUAGAUAUUAGGAGGAACACCAGUGGCGAAGGCGGUUCGCUGGACUGUAACUGACGUUGAGGCGCGAAAGCGUGGGGAGCAAACAGGAUUAGAUACCCUGGUAGUC
rnacentral:rRNA from 1 species